GCAGCCGUUUCCUGUGCCACCGCUCCUGCGCCACAGUGACUGACCAUCCUCACCAGGACGGGGAGAAAGGAGGAAAAGAGGAAGUGUUGGAGCUGUGUGCUGCCCGAGGAAUUGCUGGUGGAAAUCAUCUCUGAACGGCUGCAGCUGAGUGACUGCUACAAGGGAGUGGUGUUUGAUGGCCUGGAGACCCUCUUUGCGAGCAGCCUGGCAUCUUCUCUCCUGUGCGUGCUCAAAGCUGUCAGCAAUCGCCCUCAUAUCCACGUUGUGAACAUCUUCCAGGAUUCUGAGUUUUGGAAAGGCAGGCAGAUAGCUGCAAGAGAGAAGAGGGCAAACCCAAGAAGAAGGUGCAGCGGUCAGCAAAACUAGUGACACCAUUUGUGUCAUGGCUUCUCCUGCUCGUGGUUUCCCAGCCUUCAGCAGAGACCUCCCCAUCUACUCCUCAAGCCCCAACACCCAUCUCUACCUCAUCUGUGUACCACCUAAUAAACUGUGUCUGAACCCA